AGAGAUGUGUGAUGACGCAUAUCAAUAAGCGGAGGAAAAGAAACUAACAAGGAUUCCCUUAGUAACGGCGAGUGAAGCGGGAAGAGCUCAAAUUUGAAAUCUUCAAGGUUCUACCUUGACGAAUUGUAGUUUAUAGAAGUGUUUUCUGUUAGUGGAAUGGCAAAAGUUCUUUGGAAUAGGACAUCAUAGAGGGUGAGAAUCCCGUAUUUGGUCAUUCCUCCUAGCGUUGUGAUACACUUUCAACGAGUCGGAUUGUUUGGGAAUGCAGUCCAAAAUGGGUGGUAAAUUUCAUCUAAAGCUAAAUAUUGGCGAGAGACCGAUAGCGAACAAGUACCGUGAGGGAAAGAUGAAAAGAACUUUGAAAAGAGAGUUAAACAGUACGUGAAAUUGUCAAAAGGGAAGCGUUUGACACCAGUGUUGUUUUUCCGAAAAUCAAUUACGAAUGUUUUGUUUUUGAGGAGUUAUGACUUCAUCGGCUUGCUCCUUUCUUUACGAAACUUUCUUAAUGCGCUUUUCGGUUAACAAGUCAACAUCAAUUUCUUUUGUUGUAAAAGGGUAUGAGGAAGGUGGCUUUCUUUUCGGAGAAAGUGUUUAUAGCCUUGUGCCUCUAGCAAUCGGAGAGAUUGAGGUCUGCAGCGUAGAUCCUUCGGGGUUAGAUACGUUUGUGCUAAGUUAUAGCUUUUCAUAGACAACUUGUUGACUAUGUUUAGUCUUGUAGCUUACUCGCUUAUGCUAUUUUACCUACGCUUAGGAUGUUGAGUAGCGACAUACGCAC
rnacentral:rRNA from 1 species